rnacentral:rRNA from 1 species
UACGAAGGGGGCGAGCGUUGUUCGGAUUUACUGGGCGUAAAGGGCGCGCAGGCGGCGCAUUUUGUCAGGCGUGAAAGCCCCGGGCUUAACCUGGGAACUGCGUUUGAUACGGAUGGGCUAGAGUUCGGGAGAGGAGAGUGGAAUUCCCAGUGUAGAGGUGAAAUUCGUAGAUAUUGGGAAGAACACCGGUGGCGAAGGCGGCUCUCUGGGCCAUUACUGACGCUGAGGAGCGAAAGCGUGGGGAGCGAACAGG